AGGACGAACGCUGGCGGCGUGCUUAACACAUGCAAGUCGAACGGUGAAGCUUCAGCUUGCUGGAGUGGAUCAGUGGCGAACGGGUGAGUAACACGUGAGCAACCUGCCCCAAACUCUGGAAUAAGCGCUGGAAACGGCGUCUAAUACUGGAUACGAGACGGAAUCGCAUGGUUACCGUUUGGAAAGUUUUUCGUUGGAUGGGCUCGCGGCCUAUCAGCUUGUGUGAGGUAAUGGCUCACCAAGGCGACGACGGGUA
rnacentral:rRNA from 1 species